CAGUAGCCGCGGUAACACGGAGGGUGCAAGCGUUAAUCGGAAUUACUGGGCGUAAAGCGCACGCAGGCGGUCUGACAAGUCAGAUGUGAAAUCCCCGGGCUUAACCUGGGAACUGCAUUUGAAACUGUCAGGCUGGAGUCUUGUAGAGGGGGGUGGAAUUCCAGGUGUAGCGGUGAAAUGCGUAGAGAUCUGGAGGAAUACCGGUGGCGAAGGCGGCCCCCUGGACAAAGACUGACGCUCAGGUGCGAAAGCGUGGGGAGCAAACAGGAUUAGAGACCCGAGUAGUCCCUGUCUCUUAUAC
rnacentral:rRNA from 1 species